UACGAAGGGGGCUAGCGUUGCUCGGAAUUACUGGGCGUAAAGCGCACGUAGGCGGCUUUGUAAGUAAGAGGUGAAAGCCCAGAGCUCAACUCUGGAAUUGCCUUUUAGACUGCAUCGCUUGAAUCAUGGAGAGGUCAGUGGAAUUCCGAGUGUAGAGGUGAAAUUCGUAGAUAUUCGGAAGAACACCAGUGGCGAAGGCGGCUGACUGGACAUGUAUUGACGCUGAGGUGCGAGAGCGUGGGGAGCAAACAGG
rnacentral:rRNA from 1 species